rnacentral:rRNA from 1 species
CCUACGGGAGGCUGCAGUGGGGAAUAUUGGACAAUGGGCGAAAGCCUGAUCCAGCCAUGCCGCGUGUGUGAAGAAGGCCUUCGGGUUGUAAAGCACUUUCAGUGGGGAAGAAAGCCUUGUGGCUAAUACCCUCGAGGAAGGACAUCACCCACAGAAGAAGCACCGGCUAACUCCGUGCCAGCAGCCGCGGUAAUACGGAGGGUGCGAGCGUUAAUCGGAAUUACUGGGCGUAAAGCGCGCGUAGGCGGUCUGAUAAGCCGGUUGUGAAAGCCCCGGGCUCAACCUGGGAACGGCAUCCGGAACUGUCAGGCUAGAGUGCAGGAGAGGAAGGUAGAAUUCCCGGUGUAGCAGUGAAAUGCGUAGAGAUCGGGAGGAAUACCAGUGGCGAAGGCGGCCUUCUGGACUGACACUGACGCUGAGGUGCGAAAGCGUGGGUAGCAAACAGGAUUAGAUACCCGAGUAGUC